UCACUUAAUUUCUUCAAUUUUAAUUUGUACCUCCUAUGUGCUUUAAUUACAUUAUCUCAUUUGAUCCUAAAGAAAACCUAUUAAUCCCUUUAGUAAGGAAUAUGAAACUGAGAUGAAAUACAUAGCCAAGAAUACAUAGUCAUAGAACCAUAAUUUGAACGCACAACUGGUGUUACUAGUAAGCCUCUACAUUACACAAAUAGACCUUCUUAGGAGGAAACUUAUUCCUUUCCAACAAAUCUCUGCCAAGGCCUAAUUUGUUGUUUUAUGUUUAUGUUUGUUUAGGUAUGCCUUUAGCACCCCUGAUGAUUUCACAGAGAACAACAACAAGACCUGGGCAGCCUACAAGUAAGUGCUC